AUAAGGAUAUCCCCCUCGUACGAAAGGAGCUGGGUAUAUUAACCUCUGGUUUACCUGUUGUUUAUGUGCCCAAUAUUAAAUAAUAUUAUCUAGAGAAGCUAGGGUGUUACUUUCACUUAAGUAAUUCUAUAACAUAGGCACGGCAGGAACGCUAAGUUAGUUAAAAAUAAGUGCUGAAUGCAUCUAGGCACGAAAUUUACUUUAAGAUA
rnacentral:ncRNA from 1 species